rnacentral:rRNA from 1 species
UGAGGAAUAUUGGGUCAAUGGGCGAGAGCCUGAACCAGCCAAGUAGCGUGCAGGACGACGGCCCUAUGGGUUGUAAACUGCUUUUAUAAGGGAAUAAAGUGAGUCUCGUGAGACUUUUUGCAUGUACCUUAUGAAUAAGGACCGGCUAAUUCCGUGCCAGCAGCCGCGGUAAUACGGAAGGUCCGGGCGUUAUCCGGAUUUAUUGGGUUUAAAGGGAGCGUAGGCCGGAGAUUAAGCGUGUUGUGAAAUGUAGACGCUCAACGUCUGCACUGCAGCGCGAACUGGUUUCCUUGAGUACGCACAAAGUGGGCGGAAUUCGUGGUGUAGCGGUGAAAUGCUUAGAUAUCAUGAAGAACCCCGAUCGCGAAGGCAGGCAUCCGGGGUGUUACUGACGCUG